rnacentral:rRNA from 1 species
AGUGAACGCUGGCGGUAGGCCUAACACAUGCAAGUCGAACGGCAGCACAGUAAGAGCUUGCUCUUACGGGUGGCGAGUGGCGGACGGGUGAGGAGUACAUCGGAAUCUACUUUUUCGUGGGGGAUAACGUAGGGAAACUUACGCUAAUACCGCAUACGACCUACGGGUGAAAGCAGGGGAUCUUCGGACCUUGCGCGAUUGAAUGAGCCGAUGUCGGAUUAGCUAGUUGGCGGGGUAAAGGCCCACCAAGGCGACGAUCCGUAGCUGGUCUGAGAGGAUGAUGAGCCACACUGGAACUGAGACACGGUCCAGACUCCUACGGGAGGCAGCAGUGGGGAAUAUUGGACAAAGGGCGCAAGCCUGAUCCAGCCAUACCGCGUGGGUGAAGAAGGCCUUCGGGUUGUAAAGCCCUUUUGUUGGGAAAGAAAAGCAGCAGGUUAAUACCCCGCUGUUCUGACGGUACCCAAAGAAUAAGCACCGGCUAACUUCGUG